UGGGCUUUGCUGAGUCUGCAUUCCUAACCAAUGGCUUGACAACGUGGCUUCGUGACCACUUAAAGACCACAACCCUGCAAAGCAAGGUGUGUGACCAAGGAGAGGACACUGGGCACCUUUUCCACCAAGGCCACCUUGUGCACGUGUGGCUGCCCUGCCCAGGGACCUGCGCUGGGGUAACCCCAAACACCUUGCAAAAAAGCCCCAGAAGCAGCUGCUGGCAUACCCCAGGACUCAGCCGAUGCUGGAAAACUCCCAAUUCCCGGGAGACCUCAUUCCGUUCUGCCUCCUUCCGAUCUCCCCAGGGCUGCGACGGAGCCGUGCGCCCUGCGCAGGCAUUCGUCACGUCCCCGCCUCGACUCUGGCCAUCUGCCACGCUGCCUCCAGAGGUGGCUGCCUCCGCUCUAGGUGAAUGAUGACGGCACGUCCAGAGUGUUAUGGGCACUGGGCGGCUUAACACGGCUAAAUAAAUGUAAUGAAUAUAUAUGAUUUCACUCCCCCCCCCCCCCCCCCCCCCCCCCCCCCCCCCCCCCUCCCCCCCCCCCCCCCCCCCCCCCCNNNNNNNNNNNNNNNNNNNNNNNCCCCCCCCCCCCCGGCCGCAUCUCUACGCUGCCGUUUGAUCCGGUCAACGUGCCGCAGCCUCGCCGCCUGUAAGCCACGCGAACGCCCCGUGUCGUGGAGCAGAGCCGGGGUUCUGGCAGGUACGGCCACUGGAGAAUCAAAACGGAGCCUACAAAUGAAAAGACAAUUAGCAGAUAUUAGAAGGACGUUGAAAAAAGAGGCAUCAGAGAUGGAGAAAGGUCCCUUGGCCUCCUGGCCCUCACCUUGGGUCAUAUCAUGAGAACAGCUUCCUCCCUUGUCCCCGUGGCUCCUUGGCUGUGUCCUAAUCCCCUUGCACAGAGCCUGACCCCGGAGGGUCGAGGGGCUUCUGCAGACUUCAACCCACCAAAACCCAGCCCCCAAAUUGUGCAGAACCACAGGAGGAAAAGGGGACCGUAGCAGGGCCUUGCUCUUCAGAGCAGCCCCAUGCCAGGCGACCAUGUGCAACAGGAAGGUUCUCCACGUCCAGCAGGGGAGAUUUUUCAAGGAUUUAUGGAGAACUGUGGCUGAGAGGCUUUCAUGUGUGGUGGACACACAGGAGCUGUCAAACGGUACCUGGAAACCUGGCUGGAGCAGGGGGUAAAGCCACGUAACCCUGUACGACUGCUGUAACAUUAGCGUCCCUCGUGCAGCCCAGGCCUUCACAUUCCUACCCUGAAAUCAGCAUUUACGCACAUUUCCCUGAAGUGGAGACUUGUUAAAUGGGAAGAGUUGGAUUUCUGAAUCAUCGUUGUCUCUCAAGAGCUGAUGCCCCAUCAGACAGCUAAGGUGCUGCAAAGCUGGGGCUCCUGGCCAGAGCUGGCAGGGGCUGGGAUGGCCAGGAAGGAGCUCCACCAAAGCUGCCGGUCUGGGGAGUUUGAACAAAGCCAGAUGAGAGCUGAAAAUCUCCUUCCCUGAUCCCUGGAACGGGCUGGACAUCUGGACCUCAAAUGGACAAAAAGGGCAGUCGCAGCUUGUGGGGACAGAGGGACAUAGUGACUUCUCAUCACCGUCAUUCAUUAUGUUCCUCUCUUUUCCAUCCCUCGUCCUCUGCACAAGCAGAGCAGAGCCCAGGAGGUGCAAACACCCCGGCGGGUGCCGGACUCCUCACUCAAGGGCUGCUGUCAGCACCAGGACCUGCAGGAGCAAGAAGGGUUUCCUGAGAUUGGAGACCAAAACCCCCGUGUGCUUCCUGAGACAGUCACUUUUCUGCCCCAGGAUUUAUGAAGCAAACAAGGAAAAGGCACAUUAGACACACUGGUAAAGGCAAGUUAAAAACACAGGGUAAAAAUUGGUCCUUUCCCUCCCUUUGUUCCUAAAGAACCCAUUUGGAACCCGAGAUUUUUCCUGCCUGUGAAUGCUUCUUGUGUCUGCCCAAAGUGGGACAUACCCACAAGCAAUUUUGCAAAUUGAAGACAAACACUUCAGUCACGAAGCCAGCUUAACUUCACAGGGAAAACAAGAACGGCAUUAACCCGGCAUUCUUCAAGUAACGUUUUAGUUUUUUUUCUGUUAAAAAAUAAAUUACUGACUGUGGAAGGAAGAAAGGAAUCA
ensembl:lncRNA